UACGUAGGACCCAAGCGUUAUCCGGAAUUACUGGGCGUAAAGAGUUGCGUAGGUUGCAUAGUAAGUUAAUAGUGAAAGCGUGUGGCUCAACCAUACAUCCAUUAUUAAAACUGCUAAGCUAGAGUAUGGGAGAGGUAGAUGGAAUUUCUAGUGUAGGAGUGAAAUCCGUAGAUAUUAGAAGGAACACCGAUGGCGUAGGCAGUCUACUGGCCCAUUACUGACACUAAGGCACGAAAGCGUGGGGAGCAAACGGG
rnacentral:rRNA from 1 species